rnacentral:rRNA from 1 species
UAGGGAAUCUUCGGCAAUGGACGAACGUCUGACCGAGCAACGCCGCGUGAGUGAAGAAGGUUCUCGGAUCGUAAAACUCUGUUGUUAGAGAAGAACAAGGACGUUAGUAACUGAACGUCCCCUGACGGUAUCUAACCAGAAAGCCACGGCUAACUACGUGCCAGCAGCCGCGGUAAUACGUAGGUGGCAAGCGUUGUCCGGCUUUAUUGGGCGUAAAGCGAGCGUAGGCGGUUUCUUAAGUCUGAUGUGAAAGCCCCCGGCUCAACCGGAGAGGGUCAUUGGAAACUGGGAGACUUGAGUGCAGAAGGGGAGAGUGGAAUUCCGUGUGUAGCGGUGAAAUGCGUAGAUAUAUGGAGGAACACCAGUGGCGAAGGCGGCUCUCUGGUCUGUAACUGACGCUGAGGCUCGAAAGCGUGGGGAGCAAACAGG